UACGGGGGGGGGCAAGCGUUGUUCGGAAUUACUGGGCGUAAAGGGCGCGUAGGCGGCCUGCUAAGUCGGGCGUGAAAUGCCGGGGCUCAACCCCGGGACUGCGUCCGAUACUUCCGAGCCUGGAGGUAGGUAGGGGAGAUCGGAAUUCCUGGUGUAGCGGUGAAAUGACGCAGAUAUCAGGAGGAACACCGGUGGCGAAGGCGGAUCUCUGGGCCUUACCUGACGCUGAGGCGCGAAAGCUAGGGGAGCGAACAGG
rnacentral:rRNA from 1 species